rnacentral:rRNA from 1 species
GGUGAGGUAAAGGCUCACCAAGGCGAUGAUGGCUAGGGGUUCUGAGAGGAUUAUCCCCCACACUGGUACUGAGACACGGACCAGACUCCUACGGGAGGCAGCAGUGGGGAAUAUUGGNCAAUGGACGCAACUCUGACCCAGCCAUGCCGCGUG